CCUUCGGGUGCGUUAUUGGGCGGCGAGCGGCGGACGGGUGAGUAAUGCCUGGGAAUAUGCCUUAGUGUGGGGGAUAACUAUUGGAAACGAUAGCUAAUACCGCAUAAUGCCUACGGGCCAAAGAGGGGGACCUUCGGGCCUCUCGCGCUGAGAUUAGCCCAGGUGGGAUUAGCUAGUUGGUGGGGUAACGGCUCACCAAGGCGACGAUCCCUAGCUGGUCUGAGAGGAUGAUCAGCCACACUGGAACUGAGACACGGUCCAGACUCCUACGGGAGGCAGCAGUGGGGAAUAUUGCACAAUGGGGGAAACCCUGAUGCAGCCAUGCCGCGUGUAUGAAGAAGGCCUUCGGGUUGUAAAGUACUUUCAGUCGUGAGGAAGGGUGUGUAGUUAACAGCUGCAUACCUUGACGUUAGCGACAGAAGAAGCACCGGCUAACUCCGUGCCAGCAGCCGCGGUAAUACGGAGGGUGCGAGCGUUAAUCGGAAUUACUGGGCGUAAAGCGCAUGCAGGCGGUCUGUUAAGCAAGAUGUGAAAGCCCGGGGCUCAACCUCGGAACAGCAUUUUGAACUGGCAGACUAGAGUCUUGUAGAGGGGGGUAGAAUUUCAGGUGUAGCGGUGAAAU
rnacentral:rRNA from 1 species